CCUACGGGAGGCAGCAGUGAGGAAUAUUGGUCAAUGGACGAGAGUCUGAACCAGCCAAGUAGCGUGAAGGAUGACUGCCCUAUGGGUUGUAAACUUCUUUUAUAUGGGAAUAAAACGUUCCACGUGUGGGAUUUUGUAUGUACCAUAUGAAUAAGGAUCGGCUAACUCCGUGCCAGCAGCCGCGGUAAUACGGAGGAUCCGAGCGUUAUCCGGAUUUAUUGGGUUUAAAGGGAGCGUAGGUGGAUUGUUAAGUCAGUUGUGAAAGUUUGCGGCUCAACCGUAAAAUUGCAGUUGAAACUGGCAGUCUUGAGUACAGUAGAGGUGGGCGGAAUUCGUGGUGUAGCGGUGAAAUGCUUAGAUAUCACGAAGAUCUCCGAUUGCGAAGGCAGUUCACUGGACUGCAACUGACACUGAGGCUCGAAAGUGUGGGUAUCAAACAGGAUUAGAUACCCUUGUAGUC
rnacentral:rRNA from 1 species